CAGUGCUGUACAGUGGUCAGAGCAGUGGUGGCGAACCUAUGGCACAUGUGCCACAGCAGGCAUGCGGAGCCCUCUCUGUCAGCACGUGAGCCAAGUCUCCCCAGCAGCUGAGCAUGGGCUUUCUAGGAGCUUUGCCAAUCAAGAUCUUUAUGCUGACUGCUAAACUCAGUCCAAGAACCUUAGAAAACUACUGGACCACCUUACAUCUGUCUCAGAAAGUCCUGGGGUA
rnacentral:lncRNA from 1 species